rnacentral:tRNA from 1 species
GCGGGUAUCGUAUAGUGGUUCUUAUACGUCCUUGCCAAGGAUGAGAUGGGGGUUCGAUUCCCCCUACCCGCU